rnacentral:misc_RNA from 1 species
GAAUCCAUCCGUCGGUCGGGCUUCACGGUCCGCACUGGUGUGAUGGAUUCCUACCUUCUGAAUAACCAGCAUGCUAUUAAUUUGGUGCGUUGGGGAAGCAGGACUGUUACCUUGAAAAAAUUAGAGUGCUUAAAGCAGGCUAGUGCCUGAAUACAUUAGCAUGGAAUAAUGAAAUAGGACGGCAUGGUUCUAUUUUGUUGGUUUCUAGGAUCACCGUA